ACCAAGGCAUGGUGGCACAUGCCUGUAGUCCCAGCUACUCAGGAGGCUGAGGCAGGAGGAUUGCUUGAGCCCAGGAGUUCAAGGCUGCAGUGAGCUAUGAUUGCGCCACUGCACUCUAGCCUGGGUGACAGAGCAAGACCCUGGCUCAU
rfam:Homo sapiens chromosome 9, GRCh38 reference primary assembly.